rnacentral:tRNA from 2 species
GCGGGCGUGGCGAAAUGGUAGACGCACCGGGCUUAAAACCCGGGUCCUUCUGGAGUGUCGGUUCGAGUCCGACCGCCCGCACCA